GACGAACCGUGUGAACGUUAUUCGGAAUCACUGGGCUUAAAGGGCGCGUAGGCGGAUUUGCAAGUCUGCGGUGAAAUCCUCCAGCUUAACUGGAGAAGUGCCGUGGAUACUGCGAGUCUCGAGGAAGGUAGGGGCAUCUGGAACUGCCGGUGGAGCGGUGAAAUGCGUUGAUAUCGGCAGGAACUCCGGUGGCGAAGGCGAGAUGCUGGAUCUUUUCUGACGCUGAGGCGCGAAAGCCAGGGGAGCAAACGGG
rnacentral:rRNA from 1 species